rnacentral:lncRNA from 1 species
CUGGGGAACUGAGGGGCCCCUGAACCUGCCACCCUAACAGAUAUUGCUAAAUAAAACAAUAAAAUGAAAGAAUGCACUCUGGGUCCCACCUUGGGAGACAUGACUGAUUUAACUUGGAGGAGAGGGAAAGGGGAUAAGAAAUGUUUUUCUUUUUGUUUUUGUGGUUUUUUGCUUUUUUGCAGUUGGCAGAGGUGAAGGGAUGCAACAACCCAUUUCUUGCAAGUGAUCUGAUGGAUGUAUCACGUGUCAACAAAGAACAAAGAAAUACUUCCCCUCCUGUUCUUGAAUGCAAUGCCCCUUUUCAAGCAUUUCGGCUCUGCUAGUAUUUCAAAUUUAAAUCCAAGGUCAUUUCUCUGGGCAGGAGGUCACUCUUAUGUUUCUAGAACAGAAAAGAAAAAAGUACAAAAGCCCCGAAAAGCCCUGCACACAAAGACUCUGUAUUCUUCCCUUGGUAUUGAAAACACCUUGUUAACCCCAUGCUCCUCCCUCUGACCUAUAGGGAUUGCAUUUUCAUGGAAAUCUUGGUGAGUGGGAAAGAGUUGCUAGUUUAAGGCAGAAGACUUUCUAACAUAAGUCUGUUCUUUUUGGAAAAAUAAUGCAAGGUUGCUGUGGAAAAUCAGGACACCUGUAAAGAAGGGAGAUCAAAUAACCCAGAGAACUAUAACAUUGUAUUUUCUUUUGGUGUCUUUUUAAAAGCUUUGGGGUGAGCAUGUGUAUGGAUGUGCUUACCAACUUUUAACCAGUGGAAUGAUGCAAGAUUGUUUGGUGGCCUUUAUUUUUUCAACUGAAAACAAAUAAACAAACAAAACUAUUCACUCUUCUGGAUGUGGGUUUCCCUAGAACUUUUCAGCAGUCCUCCUGUCCCCAUGUUUAGGAUGGCAUGACUGAGAGGGAGAAAGGAAAUGGCCCCACCUUGGGCACUAACUGCUAUGUUGGGUGGCAAUAUGGAGAGAUGACUGGACAGCAGUUCAAGGGGUCUUAGAACACUGAUCUUUUAGCCCAGAGUUGAGAUGUUAUCUCCUCUAGCUUCCCUCUUCCUCACCUUACAAACGCAUCUCCAGUUCAUCUUCAUCUGAACAGUUUAUUACCUCCUCUAUCUCUUCUAUCAAACCUUUGGACUCCAGGGUUCUUACAGGAAAUAUGCCUCUUGUAGCCAUUAGGCCAAAAUUUGGCUCAGAAAUCACCUCAUGAUGCCCCUCCUCUUAGUGUUAAGGAGGAAAAGGAUGGUUUAAGAGCAAGAACCCAUAUUUGGCAGGAGUUUGGGGUAGAAAAUCAAUGCUACUCAUUGACAAAGAGCAGGAAGGAGACUCAAGACAAUGUUCAGGACUUCUCUUGGGAUCAUUUGUCUCCUACUGGGAUUAAGUAGGCUUUCUGAAGGUUAAAAAGUACCACACUUCUCCAGAAUGACGCUGACCCAGGAAUUUAAAUUUAAAUUCCUAAGGAACUGCUCAGUGUGGGUGGUGCCCUCUUUCCUGCUAAUUGCCUUAUUUAUGAUUGAUAUUUGUUAUGAGAAACUCUUGACACACCCUCUCCAAAUGUUUGAGCUUUAUCAUUCUGGAAAAAUGUGUCUAAAAUGUGUGAUGUGUAUUAAUUAUGUAUCUACCACUUCCUUAUGUAUUAUCUUGGCAAGGUUUGGGGUAGAAAAGCCAGUUCUAUUGGGUUAGCUUGAUGUAGAAGGCCAAGCCAUCCAAUGCAGAUUAUCCUGGACAUGAAGUUAGAAACAUGGUUGUCUUUAGGGAGUACCAAUCUGGAAAAGGGCCCAGAUGGCUCCCCUCAUGGUACCAGCCAAUAAUGGAGGUGGAGAGAGAGGAGGACUUAUUGAAUGAGAGUGUGGUUUAUUGAGUUGGUAGUAAAUAAGAUCCAAAGCCUUCAUAUACCAGACUCAUUUCUAGAAGAAAACUUGCCCUUCAUCCUAUUGGAGGUUAUGAGGUGACUUGAUACCAAAACCAUGAGAAUUUCAAGUUGAAUAAAAUAUAGUUUAUUCAUUCAAAAAACAUUUGCCAAGUGCCUUCUGUGUACUAGCAUGUAGCUAUAGAGAUGAACAGUGAAUUACUUCUUUCCUCAAAGAGCUUCCAAUCUAGUGCUAAAGUAAUAAAAAUUCCAUGAAGCAGGUUGAAAUUAGCACAAUGUUAGAAAUACACAUAAAGUGCUCUUAUAUGGGAAAUAAAAUUAUACAGCUCUGAUGUCUGGCACAUAAAAGACUCCAUAAUAAUUGAAUAAAUGAAUGCAUCAGGGAAGUAUUUUUAAGGGAAAUAUUACAUUUGAACUGAUCACUGAGGACGGGUAGAAUUUUGUUGGGAGCUCACUAUAUAAUUUGUGCAAAGACCCAGAUGUGAAAGUGUUUGAAUGGUUCAAAAAGUGCUAAUAAAUCAUUGGGCUUGGUCUGGGAACACAGCGAAAGGUAGUUGGAGAAGCACAUACCAGGAAGGAUCUUGAAUACUAUGUAAAGAGUUUCAAUGUUAUUCUCCAGGUAAUGGGCAACUAAGAGUCUCUGAAGAGGAAUGCUACAUGAUUUGACUGUUUUUAGGAAUAUCAUUCUGAGGGUAUCUCAGGAAAAACUUCAAAGUUGAGACUGGCAAUAUUCAACUCUGAUGGUUUGUAUUCACAUCUGUUAUUGAUUAUUGAGUCUCAAGUGAAACUUGAAAGCAGUCAGGUUUGGUUGUCAUCUUCAUUUCACCUAGAAUAGACUAUACCUGGAGAGGUUUGCCCAGGGUGGCAUGCUGCAUGACACAGAACCAAUACAAGAAGCCCGGUUUCUUCAUUCAUCCAGCCUAAUGCUGUCAGAGCUUUCCUUAAAAAAAAAAAAAAAAAAAAAAAAA